rnacentral:rRNA from 1 species
UGGGGAAUAUUGGACAAUGGGGGCAACCCUGAUCCAGCGAUGCCGCGUGUGUGAAGAAGGCCUUCGGGUUGUAAAGCACUUUAGGUUGGGAAGAAGGGAUGUGGGUGAAUAACCUAUAUUUUUGACGGUACCAUCAGAAUAAGCACCGGCUAACUCUGUGCCAGCAGCCGCGGUAAUACAGAGGGUGCGAGCGUUAAUCGGAGUAACUGGGCGUAAAGGGCGCGUAGGCGGGUUGAUAAGUGAGAGGUGAAAUCCCUGGGCUUAACCUAGGAAUAGCCUCUUAGACUGUUAGUCUAGAGUGCAGUAGAGGGUAGUGGAAUUUCCGGUGUAGCGGUGAAAUGCGUAGAGAUCGGAAGGAACAUCAGUGGCGAAGGCGACUGCCUGGACUGAGACUGACGCUGAGGCGCGAAAGCGUGGGGAGCAAACAGG